rnacentral:rRNA from 1 species
UCGCGCGUGAAUAUUGGCACAAUGGGCGCAAGCCUGAUGCAGCCAUGCCGCGUGUAUGAAGAAGGCCUUCGGGUUGUAAAGUACUUUCAGCGGGGAGGAAGGGAGUAAAGUUAAUACCUUUGCUCAUUGACGUUACCCGCAGAAGAAGCACCGGCUAACUCCGUGCCAGCAGCCGCGGUAAUUAAC